ACAAUACAGACCUACUCUUCUUUUAUAGUAUGUACAGAGGAUGUGCAUUGUGUCCAGUUAAAAUGGAACAGAUGGAGGGAGAGUCAGGUUAGAUCAUUCAGGGAUGUGUUGUGUCAUAUAAUGAUCUCAAACCAGAUGUCAUUGCACUCAGGAGAAUACUCCCUGUUACCAGGAGAUGUGUAAAAGGUGGAUUAGCGAUAUUAGAGAUAAGUACAAUGAGAUUGUGAAAAGAUAGUGUUAUCUAAUCUAGGCCUGGACGAUAUAGAAAAAAAGCAUAUCGAUAAAAAAUAAAUCAUAUUGAUCGAUAUCGAUAAUUAUCGAUAUAAUUAUUAUAAUUAUUUAACAUAUAUUUUAAUUGCAGCCCUGGAUGUUUUAUGCUAUUGCUUAAUGACCUACUUUUAAUAAAGAACACAGAAGCACUGAAUUCAAAUUCAAACCUUUAUUCAACCACCUUUUUUAUUUUACCACAACUGAAAGUUUUUUAAAAAAGAACUAAAAAAAAAAAGAAAUCAACUUAAGGGGCCUGAGUGACCUCAGUAAAUACUGACAAACAUAAAGACUAAAGUGACCAGAAAAUCUGAUAAAUAAAUAUUUAAAUAGUCUUUUGAUGAAAAUAAACAAAUAUAUAAAUAAACAGAAUAGCUUUAGGUGGGAAUAACAUACUACCAGUUUUAACUGUGUGAGAAACUGCCCACAGCCUGGUGUCUGAACACUGAAAUAUUUCCCCCGGGGUCGGGAGAUUUAUUUUUUUUAAUUAUCAUGUGAUUGACUUGAUACGCAAACUGAGCACGAGAAGCAGGACUUAUCCACGCCGGUGUUGUGUCGUAGAAUGCACCCCUGCCGAAUGCACCCCCUGCUAGUAGCCAUGAUCCAAAUACUCGCGUCUUUGUAAAAUAUGAGCUCAUUUUCUUCCACUUUAAGAAGCUAAUGAGUGGACGGGAUGCAGGGGUGCAUUCUUCUCACCUUUUCAACCGCUGACCCAUUUUCAUGACUGAAGCGCUGUGUUUGAGAAAUACUUGCGGCCGGGCACUUCAUAUCGCGGGUCGAGAGUGGCUAGAAGCUGGUCGAAGCCAGGCUUUUCAACGGUAGCUAUUGGCAGUAUGUCCCUCGCUAUGCAGCAUGUUACUGCAUGGGUGAUGUCCUUAUGCCGCUCGGACGCUUUGUCGUAUUUUGACAAGAAACGAAGUCCAGUUUGGUCUGCUUCACUUGCUUUGUGCUGGUGCUGGCAGCGGUUCCAGAGGAUUCCUCCGACGACGUGGAGCCGCGGCGCGGCCGACACAGCUCGUACUCCUGCGGGUGCGACCGGUUUAGAUGGUAAAACAAGUUGGUUGUGUUACCAGACUUGGUUUUUACUAAUUCUCUGCAAAUUUAGCAAACGACCGCUGUUCGCUUUUUGUCAGACUUCUAAAAACCAAAACAUUGCCAUGCUGGUGAACUACUGACAAUGUCCUCCGCUUCUCCUUGCUGUAUCAUUUUUUCUAAUACACGUGCUGUCUGUCGUGGUUUGAUAGGGGCUGGGCUUGGUGCCGUAGCGUACCUGGGUCUGCGUUUGUGAUUGGUUGGGAGGAAGUAAUGACUGUAGCAAAAGCUACAUGAUAGGCUAUGAUGAAAAAGAAAGGGAAACUGUGUUUUUCUAUCGAACUUUUUAUCGACCCGUUUUUUUUCUAUCGCACCACACGUCUAUCGAUCGAUAUAUAUUGUUAUCGAAUUAUCGUCCAGCACUAAUCUAAUCCAUCCAUGUCAUUUGAUGGAUGUGACACACUUGAGUUGGCUAAAGUAGAGACAAAAAAUGACAACAUGAGGCUCCUUUUCUACAAAUUACUGCAUUGUGAAGUGAAUCCCAGGACGCUCUGAUAGUGACCUCCAUAUUCUGCACACCGCACCUUUUGAAAAACAUGAGAUCCAGUUUGAAAAACCCUUCACAGUAAAUGUUUUUGAACAUGUCCACACUUGAUCUUUAAGGUUUGUGGCGGCGCCUUCGGCAGAAACAGGUUUGAAACUCCUGAUCAGGCUGCGGCGUUCACGUGUGUUCACGUGUACUUCCAUGUUACCUUUGAGGAUAAACAACUUGGCAGAGAGCAGUGAAAUCCUUCAGUAACCUGUGUCCUGGUGCCCUCACUACAGUUUCACAACAACCUCUGCCAACGCCCACUGCUGCGUGUGUGAAAGACUGUCAACAGAAACCCUGCCGCACUGCCAACUAUUUACAGUCUGUUAUGAUUACACUGAAGUUAAAGUUCAACCAGAGUGUCGGCAUGGUUUCUGCUCCAUUACUGCUUCUUUUUUUCCUUAAAUGCCUCCAAGUGAAGGUAUGUUUACAGUUUUCCUCUUACUCCAGUUUCUGACAUGAAAUCCACCCUGAAGGUUUGGCCUACUUCCCUUUGAAAGCGACUGUAUAUCAUCACAUCACGUGUUAAGGUGCACAAAUUGGACUGCUGCUGUUUCCCUCUGGUGGUCAGUUUGGUACUUGCAAGUAGAGCAUCAUUCAAACUCAGAAUGUGCUUUAAAAGUCGUGUUUGGAUCCAUGAAGGUUGAAGAAAAAGAACAUAUUACUGAAACUAGCUCAUCUUAUUGACACUAACUGUGAAAUUACACAAGUUAAUAUGUUGAUAAUAGCGUGGAUUGAUGCCUCAUGAACAAUUCCAGCUGACAUCCCAUUUUAUUUUGGACAAGUAAACAUUUUAGACAGUUUAGGUCGUGUUCUGCCCUUUCAUAUCUAUGAUCAGAAAAGAUCAUUAAAACAAAAACACAGUCAAGUCUUUCUGGAAAAAUAACACACUCCUUCUUAAUUAGGAUUAAUAAUAGCUCCAUCGCCCACACAGUCUAAUUAAAAGUAGAUUUAAAAUUAGGUUUAAAGUAGGGCUGGGCGAUAAAACGAUCACAAUAUACAUCAAAAAUGAAUUUCCCUCGAUAUCAAUAUGAAACAUGGUCAAUAUGCUUUUAGGUAGGCAUUUUGCCACAGCAGAGCACACAACAAACCCUAAGCAGAGCAAGGAGCCCAUGGCGCCUGUGCAGCCGAAACAGCCGACCAUUCAGUCGCUGUCUCUAGAGCAACACCUUAUGACAAAACGUCAAAGUGCCACAAAGACCUCAUAGAUGCAGUCGCUUACUGUUUUGCAAAAGACAUGCAACCAAUAAGCACUGUUAAAUUUGAUUUAAGAGCAAAAGGGAACAUUUAAGAUCGACA